rnacentral:rRNA from 1 species
CAUGCUGUAAACGUUGUGCACUAGGUGUGGGAGGUAUCGACCCCUUCCGUGCCGCAGCUAACGCAUUAAGUGCACCGCCUGGGGAGUACGGUCGCAAGACUGAAACUCAAAGGAAUUGACGGGGGCCCGCACAAGCGGUGGAGCAUGUGGUUUAAUUCGAGGCAACGCGAAGAACCUUACCCAGGCUUGACAUCCUGUGACCGCCUAUGAAAGUAGGUUUUCCCUUCGGGGACACAGAGACAGGUGU